GGCCUUAUCGUCUAGUGGCCUAGGACUCAUGAUUCUCAAUCAUGUAACCGGGGUUCGAUUCCCCGUAAGGCCGCCA
rnacentral:tRNA from 1 species